rnacentral:rRNA from 1 species
AAUUCGCCCUUAGAGUUUGAUCCUGGCUCAGAUUGAACGCUGGCGGCAGGCCUAACACAUGCAAGUCGAGCGGCAGCACGGGUACUUGUACCUGGUGGCGAGCGGCGGACGGGUGAGUAACACGUGGGCAACCUGCCUGUAAGACUGGGAUAACUUCGGGAAACCGGGGCUAAUACCGGAUAAUCCUUUUCCUCUCAUGAGGAAAAGCUGAAAGUCGGUUUACGCUGACACUUACAGAUGGGCCCGCGGCGCAUUAGCUAGUUGGUGAGGUAACGGCUCACCAAGGCGACGAUGCGUAGCCGACCUGAGAGGGUGAUCGGCCACACUGGGACUGAGACACGGCCCAGACUCCUACGGGAGGCAGCAGUAGGGAAUCUUCCGCAAUGGACGAAAGUCUGACGGAGCAACGCCGCGUGAGCGAUGAAGGCCUUCGGGUCGUAAAGCUCUGUUGUUAGGGAAGAACAAGUACCGGAGUAACUGCCGGUACCUUGACGGUACCUAACCAGAAAGCCACGGCUAACUACGUGCCAGCAGCCGCGGUAAUACGUAGGUGGCAAGCGUUGUCCGGAAUUAUUGGGCGUAAAGCGCGCGCAGGCGGUCCUUUAAGUCUGAUGUGAAAGCCCACGGCUCAACCGUGGAGGGUCAUUGGAAACUGGGGGACUUGAGUACAGAAGAGGAAAGCGGAAUUCCACGUGUAGCGGUGAAAUGCGUAGAGAUGUGGAGGAACACCAGUGGCGAAGGCGGCUUUCUGGUCUGUAACUGACGCUGAGGCGCGAAAGCGUGGGGAGCAAACAGGAUUA